UACGUAGGGGGCAAGCGUUGUCCGGAUUUAUUGGGCGUAAAGAGUGCGUAGACGGUCAUGUAAGUCGGGUGUGAAAGCCCCGGGCUCAACCUGGGAAUUGCAUUCGAGACUGCAUGGCUAGGAUGCGGAAGAGGGAAGCGGAAUUUCCGGUGUAGCGGUGAAAUGCGUAGAUAUCGGCAGGAACACCCAGGGAGAAAUCAGCCGCCUGGGCAAGUGCUGACGCUGAGGUGCGAAAGCGUGGGGAGCGAACCGG
rnacentral:rRNA from 1 species